rnacentral:lncRNA from 1 species
UGGAGUCUUCAUGCUGGCAGCCCUGAAAUAUUUGUUACCAUACUUGGUGGAGCAUGCUUUUCUGUUUCAGAUAUUACUUUGCCACAAAGCCUUUUGUAAGCCAUGUAACA